rnacentral:rRNA from 1 species
UACGAAGGGGGCUAGCGUUGCUCGGAAUGACUGGCGUAAGGGCGCGUAGGCGGCCAUUCAAGUCGGGGGUGAAAGCCUGUGGCUCAACCACAGAAUUGCCUUCGAUACUGUUUGGCUUGAGUUUGGUAGAGGUUGGUGGAACUCCUAGUGUAGAGGUGGAAUUCGUAGAUAUUAGGAAGAACACCAGUGGCGAAGGCGGCUUACUGGUCCGGAACUGACCGCUGAGGUGCGAAAGCGUGGGGAGCAAACAGG